UCAAGGGAGGAUUCUCGUAUUCUGUGCCAGAAAUGGACUGUGGUUAUUCUGGCUUCAGAAUGGUGUGGCUAGGGAAUGUGGCUGAGGCCCCAUCAUCUCAGGGCGCUCACCUUGAAGGUGGUCCAGUCCAAACAGGAUUUAGAAUUUUAAAAACUUUCUAACCUCAACCCCCUUGAUUACUAAUCUGACCUGAUGCCAUUUCUGGCCCAUAGGAGGGGCAGCCCCAGCUGUCUGGUUUACUCCUUGUCCAAAGGAAAUUAGGGAGGUAGGCAAGUGAGUUCUCACAGUUUGAAAAUGCAAAUAGUGCAUUUAACCUGGACUCUUCUUUUCCUUUUCCUAGGAAGAAUAGCUCUCUCAAAAAUGCCGCCAUGAAGUUCCCAUGGUGUCACAGUGGUUAACGAAUCUGACUAGGAACCAUGAGGUUGCGGGUUUGAUCCCUGGCCUCGCUCAGUGGGUUAAGGAUCCAUCGUUGCAGUGGGCUGUGGUGUAGGUCACAGACUCAGCUCGGAUCCCACGUGGCUGUGGCGUAGGCCACAGCUACAGCUCCAAUUAGAUCCCUAGCCUGGGAAACUCCAUGUACCUCGGAUACAGCCCUAGAAGAGACAAAAAAAAAAAAGCCGCCAUGGUACCGAAACCAAUUAUCUUUUACCCUGGCAUAGUUAAUGCUGCCUCUUGGACAAGAUGGAGCCCAGGUAGAGUAUGUACUAGUGAAUAAUUAAGGAGUAAAGAGAGGCAACAUGCAUUCAGAAAGCGAAGGCUUCUGCUUUGAGUUUUGCUUUAAUUUCUAGGUACAAGGAGAAUAGAAGACUUUUGCAUAACCCUCCACAAUCUUCAAAAAUCUCAGUUUAAAUCCCAUUUUUUUCCCCAAAAAAGCCUCCUUAACUAUACUAUCUCUCCUGAACCCCAACUUAGCGGUUCUCAUUCCUAAUUUGAUGCUUAUAAGAUGGUAUAUUGGAGGCUAUUAUUUAAUGCUUGUCUUGUUUCUUUUCCUGAUUGCAGCCUCCCUGAGGGCAGACAUUAUUUUUUCUCCCACUAAAAAGUAAGCUUUGCUAGCUUCAUCUGGUUCUUUUAUGACUCUAAUUCCUUCACAAUGUGUCACAUAUUAUAGGCAAUCACUAGGUAAUUUUGAAUGAGCAGUUCUAACGUUUCAGCAUCUUUUAUAGCUCUGAUGUUUAUGCUACACAUACUGUACUUACUGGUAAUUGAAAAGAAAGGCAGUUUAUUUUUGCUUUUAUAAAACCAGGUUGGACUCGAAGUGGCCUCUUUGAAGUGGUAGAAUCUGAGACUGAUCUUUGAAGUCUGGCUGUCAUGGUUGAUGGACCUCCCAAAAAAUUGGGGGUAUUUGGGAAGCAUCUAGGGCUUAUGCAACUCUCUGUUGGUUUUAUUUUUAGUUGAGUCCUAGAGCUGUACUCAUAAAUCACAAGCUGACUCAAAAGAGAGAUUGCUUUGGUUAUUCUAAAGAUAAAGGGGGAAAAAAAAAAACAGCGAGAUUUGUCAAGUAGCAACUUUCAGCACUGGGCUGUGUCAUUUAAAAUAUGUAUUCUCAUGUAAGUGUCAAAAGAACCCUGCCAGUAGUAAUAUAUUUUCUUCUUUUAGAUGUAAAAGGAGGUUCAGAAAAAGUAACUAAUUUACUUGAACUUUAAGUUCUCUGGGAUCCAAGUGUCUGGCACAGAGGAGUCAUUCAACUAAAUGUGAAUUAAAUUUAUUCAAGGGUCCUUAGUCAGACAGCGAUGGAUCAGGCUGAGUUUGAACCCAAAGCUGUUGGUAUUUGAAGCUCAUCCUCUUUCCAUUAUUGUCUCUCCUGUAAAUAGAAAUUCUCAUAGAGAGAGAACCAGAACCGGCAUUAUUAGCUUUUCAUUGUAGCUCUUUUGCUCUUUCAGCUCAGGCUGCAUGAGACUGAAGUUUUGAACAUUUGGGCCCAAAUAUCAUUUUUCUCUGUCUAUGCUCUUUGCCCAGAGAUGAUGCUAAGGAUAAACUUGACUUCCUGGCAACAUCUCAGCCAGAAACUGAGAACUGUUAGAACACACUCUUCCUGAUAUCCUAAGGAGGCAAAAAUACACAUUUGGAAAGAAUAAAGUUGCCGAAACGGUAACACCAUUUGCAUUUUAUUCUCUGUCUCCUCCCUCCGCCCCCAGGGUAGGGGCUAGUGGCCAUCCAAACCCAGCCAAGAAGUCAGCAAGUUAGAACUUUAUCAUGUUUAUCGUUCUGGUUCGUGGGUUUGUUUUUAAUAAAGUCCUGGCUCUCCAAGUAGCUGAGGACUAUUUCACAUGAUCAGCAGAUUUAAAAGUCUUUUCCUGAGCUCUAGGACAAAGGAGAAUAUAUUACAUUUUAUACGCACAAACUCUCAUUCCCACACUUCCCUCCCAGCUGACACAAAUACUUGGUUUUUUACAUUUUUUUUUUAGACACUGCAUCUACUUUUUAAGACUCAAUUUGAAUCGAUGCUUUUUUAAUUUGAAUGCUGCACAAAUGAUACUUGCUCUUCUGCCACACCCACUGGUGCCAAAGAGAGGAGGAAAGUGGUGACUGUUGGAAGCACAGCUUUGUGUAGGGCACCGUGAGAGCCAGCACCUAACUGGUGAGAAGUUACACGGAGGAGCCGGGAGGUCAGUACAUGCAAUGCUCUUCUGGUGUUGAGCCUCUCAAGGAGUGGAAGCGGGACGGGCUUGGGAGACGGUCUGUUCACAGGGAGGACAGAUGUCUCAGAAACGGAAGGAGUGUGGAGUGAGGAAGAUGGGGCUAAACGUCCAGUGCCCACUCGGACUAGGAUUUCUUUAGUCCCCCGCCCAGUGCCCUUGGCCUUCGGAAACUAGCAAUUUGGUUUUGUUUCUUAUUUUGAGAAAAUUGUAUCAUGUGAGACAAAAUGGAGUCCAAAGGAUAAUAGAAAAGGAAUUAAAAUUUGUUACAUUAGCUAGUAUAUGUUAGUCAUAUGUUAGUCAUUUGUUACAUUAGUUAGUAUAUGUUAAUAGACACACGCAUGCGUGAGUGCGUGCUGUGGGGAUGGGUGGGGCAGGCGCUGCAGGUGUCCUGGCACCUGGUCCCACCCCCACCUUAGUUGUCGAGCCUACCCUCAUCCCUCCUGCUGGAUCUUCUUCCCCCUGUUCUGUCAGCACAUUGCCCUCGCCCUCUUCUUCCUGGCUCUGUGAUCUUGGGGAUCACUUAACUACUCUGGGCAUUGGCUGCUUCUCCUCUAAAAUGGAGAUAUUAGUGUCUCCUUGCAAGUCAUGAUAAAUGUUAGGGAGCUUGUGUGCAGAACACCAGCGCAGGGUCUCGAAAGCGAGAGGCAGCUGGUUUUGUCUUUCUUUCAAACGUUUGUUCAGCAGAUCAAGACUUGAACACCAGGACUGGGUAUAUGCUCGGCUCACUCUUAAGGAUACAAGCACAGAACCUUCUCAUCAGGGGCUCGUAAAAUACUGAGAAAGACAUGUUUUACUGCAGGGUGGAGCAUGUGCUUGGACGCAAAUAUACCCCAGAACACAGCUCAGAUACCCAGGUUCCUCAGGAAUCAACUUCUCUGAUUCCAUUUUCCUCUAUUCUGGAAAUAGUUGUUCCCCCUUUUGAGCUUCAGAGAGGUGUGCUAGCCAGUAAUGGCACCACAGGUGUGGCGACUGUGUACUUGAAAUGUGGUUAUUUUAUUUGAGAUGUGCUAUAAGCGUAAAGCACACAGCAGACUUCAAAGGCUU
rnacentral:lncRNA from 1 species